UACGAAGGGUGCAAGCGUUACUCGGAAUUACUGGGCGUAAAGGGUGCGUAGGUGGUUUGUUAAGUCUGCUGUGAAAUCCCCGGGCUCAACCUGGGAAUGGCAGUGGAUACUGGCAAGCUAGAGUGCGGUAGAGGGUAGUGGAAUUCCCGGUGUAGCAGUGAAAUGCGUAGAGAUCGGGAGGAACACCCGUGGCGAAGGCGGCCAUCUGGACCAGCACUGACGCUGAGGCACGAAAGCGUGGGGAGCAAACAGG
rnacentral:rRNA from 1 species